rnacentral:lncRNA from 1 species
UGUGUGUCUGUGUGUUGAGUGUGAGUGUGUAUGUGUGUGUAGGGGUCGGGGUGGGGGGGUCCGUGUUCGCGAUCUGAACCUUUGGUACCUACAAGGAGGGUGUCUCACCGAACGGUAGCUAAGACCUCACCAGGACCGCGCGAAGUGAGGAGUCGCGUCCAAAGGCGCCCGCCGGAGCCUCGUCUCUGGGCCGGACCCCAACCCGAGCGGCCGAAAGGAACCCCCCGCCCGGAUCACAGCUGCCGCUGAAAUUCGCUGCGGCCGCUGCCUCUUCCCGCUUUAAUCCCAGACCUCCAGUCAUUGGGCAGCUCCUCAGAGGCAAGAAGUCAACACCAUGGCAACCCGACAAGCCUAUCAGAUCACCGGCUGGUGUGACAGCAGCAACGCUGCAGGCUGGAGUGGGCUGGGCAGAAGAGCAGAGUGGCCUCUACGCUCAGCGACAAAAUGAUACCAUCAUUUUUAUGUGA